rnacentral:rRNA from 1 species
AGUGAACGCUGGCGGUAGGCCUAACACAUGCAAGUCGAACGGCAGCACAGUAAGAGCUUGCUCUUACGGGUGGCGAGUGGCGGACGGGUGAGGAAUACAUCGGAAUCUACUUUUUCGUGGGGGAUAACGUAGGGAAACUUACGCUAAUACCGCAUACGACCUACGGGUGAAAGCAGGGGAUCUUCGGACCUUGCGCGAUUGAAUGAGCCGAUGUCGGAUUAGCUAGUUGGCGGGGUAAAGGCCCACCAAGGCGACGAUCCGUAGCUGGUCUGAGAGGAUGAUCAGCCACACUGGAACUGAGACACGGUCCAGACUCCUACGGGAGGCAGCAGUGGGGAAUAUUGGACAAUGGGCGCAGGCAUGAUCCAGCCAUACCGCGUGGGUGAAGAAGGCCUUCGGGUUGUAAAGCCCUUUUGUUGGGAAAGAAAAGCAGCAGGUUAAUACCCCGCUGUUCUGACGGUACCCAAAGAAUAAGCACCGGCUAACUUCGUG